rnacentral:rRNA from 1 species
UACGGAGGAUGCAAGCGUUAUCCGGAAUGAUUGGGCGUAAAGCGUCCGCAGGUGGCUGUGUAAGUCUGCUGUCAAAGAGCAAAGCUCAACUUUGUAAAGGCAGUGGAAACUACACGGCUAGAGUGCGUUCGGGGCAGAGGGAAUUCCUGGUGUAGCGGUGAAAUGCGUAGAUAUCAGGAAGAACACCCGUGGCGAAGGCGGCUCUCUGGGACGGUACUGACGCUGAGACGCGAAAGCGUGGGGAGCGAACAGG